GACGAACGCUGGCGGCGUGCUUAACACAUGCAAGUCGAACGGAAAGGCCCUGCUUUUGUGGGGUGCUCGAGUGGCGAACGGGUGAGUAACACGUGAGUAACCUGCCCUUGACUUUGGGAUAACUUCAGGAAACUGGGGCUAAUACCGGAUAGGAGCUCCUGCUGCAUGGUGGGGGUUGGAAAGUUUCGGCGGUUGGGGAUGGACUCGCGGCUUAUCAGCUUGUUGGUGGGGUAGUGGCUUACCAAGGCUUUGACGGGUAGCCGGCCUGAGAGGGUGACCGGCCACAUUGGGACUGAGAUACGGCCCAGACUCCUACGGGAGGCAGAAGUGGGGAAUAUGGCACAAUGGGCGGAAGCCUGAUGCAGCAACGCCGCGUGCGGGAGGACGGCCUUCGGGUGGUAAACCGCUUUCGCCUGUGACGAAGCGUGAGUGACGGUAAUGGGGAAAGAAGCACCGGCGAACUACGU
rnacentral:rRNA from 1 species